AUUAGUCUUUUAAUUGGAGAUUGGUAUGUAAGGUAUUAUACUUUGAAGAUAGUUUUAUAAAGAGUAAUUGAAUUUAAAUUAAAAAUAAAAAUGUUUUUAUGAAAUUCUGGGACGAGAAGUCCCUAGAAGCUUAAAAUUUAGUAAUUUUUGGUUGGGGCGAUUAACGAAGAUAGAGAUCUUUAUCGAAUAAAAUUGAGUUAUAGUGAAGUUACUCUCGGGGAUAACAGCGUAAUUUAAUUAAAGAGUUCUUCUUGAUAAUUAAAGUUUACGACCUACGAUGUUGAAUUAAAUGUAGAU
rnacentral:rRNA from 1 species